GAUGAACGCUGGCGGCGUGCUUAACACAUGCAAGUCGAACGGAAAGGCCCAAGCUUGCUUGGGUACUCGAUUGGCGAACGGGUGAGUAACACGUGGGUGAUCUGCCCUGCACUUCGGGAUAAGCCUGGGAAACUGGGUCUAAUACCGGAUAGGACGAUGGUUUGGAUGCCAUUGUGGAAAGUUUUUUCGGUGUGGGAUGAGCUCGCGGCCUAUCAGCUUGUUGGUGGGGUAAUGGCCUACCAAGGCGUCGACGGGUAGCCGGCCUGAGAGGGUGUACGGCCACAUUGGGACCGAGAGACAGGCCAGACUCCUAAGGGAGGCAGAAGGGGGGAAUAUUGCACAAUGCGCGCAAGCCUGAGGCAGCGACGCCGCGUGGGGGAUGACGGCUUUAGGGUUGUAAAAUCCUUUCGCUAGGGACGAAGCGUUUUUGUGACGGUACCUGGAGAAGAAGCACCGGCUAACUACGUG
rnacentral:rRNA from 1 species